GGGGGCGAAAGGUUUCGACGGGGACACGGAGAUGGUUAGGAGCGUGCCGUGGGUCGUCAUGUCACCACGUAAAAAGGCGUGACAACUUUAUGAGUGCCAACGAUAACGUUGAACUCCGCGCAGCAGCGUAAGUUGUGAGCGCGCGUCGGCCGCAACAGUUGUCUGCGGGUUACGGGUCCGGCGCCAUUUAGCAGGCUGGAUUCAUGUUGGCGUCUCGGCGACAUGAGUUGAGAAACACUGAGACUAGCCAUUUGGGAAGCCUGUCCGUGGGCGUCCUGAGAGGUUAAAUCAAUCAUGGACUACGCACGUAGCGCCUGCCAUUGAUGGUUUCCGGACCCGGGUUCGAUUCCCGGCGCCUCCACCA
rnacentral:tmRNA from 1 species